rnacentral:rRNA from 1 species
AAGCAUCAGGUAACAUCAAAUCGUACCCCAAACCGACACAGGUGGUCAGGUAGAGAAUACCAAGGCGCUUGAGAGAACUCGGGUGAAGGAACUAGGCAAAAUGGUGCCGUAACUUCGGGAGAAGGCACGCUGACACGUAGGUGAAGUGAUUUACUCACGGAGCUGAAGUCAGUCGAAGAUACCAGCUGGCUGCAACUGUUUAUUAAAAACACAGCACUGUGCAAACACGAAAGUGGACGUAUACGGUGUGACGCCUGCCCGGUGCCGGAAGGUUAAUUGAUGGGGUCAGCGCAAGCGAAGCUCCUGAUCGAAGCCCCGGUAAACGGCGGCCGUAACUAUAACGGUCCUAAGGUAGCGAAAUUCCUUGUCGGGUAAGUUCCGACCUGCACGAAUGGCGUAAUGAUGGCCAGGCUGUCUCCACCCGAGACUCAGUGAAAUUGAACUCGCUGUGAAGAUGCAGUGUACCCGCGGCAAGACGGAAAGACCCCGUGAACCUUUACUAUAGCUUGACACUGAACAUUGAGCCUUGAUGUGUAGGAUAGGUGGGAGGCUUUGAAGUGUGGACGCCAGUCUGCAUGGAGCCGGCCUUGAAAUACCACCCUUUAAUGUUUGAUGUUCUAACGUGGACCCGUGAUCCGGGUUGCGGACAGUGUCUGGUGGGUAGUUUGACUGGGGCGGUCUCCUCCUAAAGAGUAACGGAGGAGCACGAAGGUUGGCUAAUCCUGGUCGGACAUCAGGAGGUUAGUGCAAUGGCAUAAGCCAGCUUGACUGCGAGCGUGACGGCGCGAGCAGGUGCGAAAGCAGGUCAUAGUGAUCCGGUGGUUCUGAAUGGAAGGGCCAUCGCUCAACGGAUAAAAGGUACUCCGGGGAUAACAGGCUGAUACCGCCCAAGAGUUCAUAUCGACGGCGGUGUUUGGCACCUCGAUGUCGGCUCAUCACAUCCUGGGGCUGAAGUAGGUCCCAAGGGUAUGGCUGUUCGCCAUUUAAAGUGGUACGCGAGCUGGGUUUAGAACGUCGUGAGACAGUUCGGUCCCUAUCUGCCGUGGGCGCUGGAGAACUGAGGGGGGCUGCUCCUAGUACGAGAGGACCGGAGUGGACGCAUCACUGGUGUUCGGGUUGUCAUGCCAAUGGCACUGCCCGGUAGCUAAAUGCGGAAGAGAUAAGUGCUGAAAGCAUCUAAGCACGAAACUUGCCCCGAGAUGAGUUCUCCCUGAGACUUUAGGUCUCCUGAAGGAACGUUGAAGACGACGACGUUGAUAGGCCGGGUGUGUAAGCGCAGCGAUGCGUUGAGCUAACCGGUACUAAUGAACCGUGAGGCUUAACCUUACA